rnacentral:misc_RNA from 1 species
CCGAGUUUACAACUCCCAAACCCCUGUGGACAUACACUUUGUUGCUUCGGCGGAUCAGCCCGCUCUCGGUAAGGCGACGGCCCGCCAGAGGACCCAUACAACUCUUGAUUUGAUCUAUGAUUUAACUUCUGAGUGAUAUACAUAAAUAAAUCA